GCAGUGGCAGCUGCAGGGUGGGUGGAUGCUCCAGCACAACAGUCCAUGGGUGCCCACCCAUGUGUUCUCUCCUCCUUCCAGCACAGUGAUGGCACCUUCUGUGUGAAACCCCUCAAGCAGAAGCAAGUGGUGGAUGGUGUGAGCUACCUCCUGCAGGAGAUCUACGGCAUUGAGAACAAGUACAACACACAGGAUUCCAAGGUGGCCGAGGACGAGGUGAGCGAUAACAGCGCCGAGUGCGUCGUCUGCCUGUCGGACGUGCGUGACACCCUCAUCCUGCCCUGCCGGCACCUCUGCCUCUGCAACACCUGCGCCGACACCCUGCGCUACCAGGCCAACAACUGCCCCAUCUGCAGGCUGCCUUUCCGAGCCCUGCUUCAAAUCCGAGCCAUGAGGAAGAAGCUGGGUCCCCUCUCGCCCACCGGCUUCAACCCCAUCAUCGCCUCACAGACCUCAGACUCCGAGGAGCACUCGUCCUCAGAGAACAUUCCCCCUGGCUAUGAGGUGGUGUCACUGCUGGAGGCCCUCAACGGGCCACUGACACCCUCGCCGGCUGCUCUGCCACUGCGGGCCCUGGGGGACCCCCCGGGCGUGGGGACCCUCCCCUCCUAUGGCAGUGACGGCCCCCUACCUGCCCUGAGGGCCCUCUCGCCCCUCCAGCGCCUGCCCGACUGCGGCCCCCCGGGGCUCAAGCUGAAGAAGAGCAUCUCCAAGUCCAUCUCGCAGAACUCCUCCAUCCUGCCUGAAGAGGAGGACGAGAAGUCGUGCACUGAGUCGGAGCCGAGGGUCUCCAGGAGGAGAUCCCCGGCCCGGUGCGAGGAGGAAUGUGGUGUGACACCAGAGAGUGAAAACUUCACCCUGUCAUCAUCAGGAGCCAUUGACCAGUCCUCAUGCACUGGGACACCCCUCUCCUCCACCAUCUCGUCCCCAGAAGGUACAGAGCCCGUCAGCAGCAGCCUGGCUCAGUCCGUCAUGUCCAUGGCCUCCUCCCAGAGCCAGCACUCCCAGCUCAGCACAGACACUGUGUCCUCCAUGUCUGGCUCCUACGUUGCUCCUGGCACAGAGGAGGAAGAGGAGGAGGAGGAGGAGGGGGACAUGCUCCCCUCACCUGCGGCCGCAAGCGUCACAGCCUCUGAUGGAGAGUCAACGCCUGUGGAAUCCCCAGAUGUGAACUUUGUCAGCAUCUCUGCCGAGGAGCUCGAUGCUGAGGGCAACGAUGUGCUGGAGGAUGAGGACGCCUCUCCCACGCAGGAAGACGGCCCGAGGACAGGCGCUUUCCUCGGUCUGAGGUGUGACAAUAACAAUGACAUGGGCAUCGCACACGUGAAAGCGCUGGACAAUAAACUGUGCUCUGAGGCCUGCUUACCUGGCUCCUCCGUCCGUGUGAAAGUUCAUGUUCGCUCUGUGCCAACACGGUUUUCUCCACCCAUGCUUGUGUCCCCUCCCUGCCCAGAGUUGCACAAAGGUGACAAAUGUAUUGGUGACCCCUGGUCCCUGCACAGACCAAAGGGAGCAGUGGGCUGGGGACCCUUCCUCAGCCUGUGUGUGGAGAAAUGGGGCAAAAAACUAAGACAAAGCCCUCCGAGGGGUCUCCAUCAAUACAUUUGUGGACAAGCUGAAAGCAACUCUGCCCUUGCCUUGCCCCUUUGCCUAACUUUGUGGCAGGUCUGAGACCUGCAGCAGGUGCUGGAGAGCCGAGAGGGUGGGUGAAACCCACUGGAGGGAAGGGAAAUCCUUUUUUCCCUGCUACUCCUUUGGGAAAGCCUCCUCUCCUGCUGCUUUGCCUGCUCCUGGUGGUUUCUGUGCCGGAGAAACACAGCUGAGGCUCUUGGGGAGGAACAGGCUCCUGCCACAAAAGUCCUGUGUCCCCUCCAUCACCCUCUGGAAGCAGCUGCCUGAGCCCUGCCCAGGAGGGCUGGGGAGGGAGCUGGGGGGGAUAUCUCAGCAGCACCUCUGCCUUGCUGGGGAGCCUGGCAAAGCAUCCCUUGGCUGUGGGACCAGCCAAAGCCAUCCUUGACUGCAUCCCCCUUGGUUGUGCCGGGGGGAGGAUGAGGAAGGGGGAGCUUUGCAGCCCAGACGGCUCCAGCACAGGGUCAGAUUCUUGCUCUGCUGUGAGGAGUGCACUGGCCGUGUCCCCAGCCUGGGCUGGGGUGCAGGAUCUGGCCCCUGGGACGAGCCCAGCCAAGGAUGGACUCUCCAUCCUUUGGCCACCACGCCAGUCCCUGUGUCCAGCGGCUGUGCUGCUUGGAGCCCUCAGCACGGAGCUGCCCUGCUGCCAGCAUGAGGGGUGAGCCAGCCUUGGCAUUUGCGGGGAAAAGCAGGGAAUUGCUACUCGUGCCAGGACCAGGGGCAGAGGAGGUGCAGAGCAGGAGCUUUGGGGCUGCCCCUGGUCGCCUGAGGAUGGCAGAGGGACCAGUGGGAAGAACACCAGUGAUGUUCUCCAUCCCUUUACACUCACUGUAGGACAUGAUGUGUUUUUUCCACAUCGUGAUGGACAGUGAUUAAUGUUUUACAACUUUCCUUUUUCAGAUGUACCAGUUUGUGUAGAUCAGGAUGUUCCAACAGUUUUUAACCAGGCCGCCGUGCCGGACUCCUGCCCCAUUAACAUUGAGGAAUAGGCCCAGAGGCCGCCAACAACAACGUGCGGCUGCAGCAGACGCCCCGGCC